AAGUGGCUUCGUCGAAUAGCGGCAUAUGCACGAGGUAAUUGCAAUGUCAGCACUGAAAAAGGCCAAAAAAUCCCAUGUGCCGGUAUUGUAGUUAUAGGAGACGAAAUACUCAAAGGCGAAGUGUUCGAUACAAAUUCUACAUUUCUUGCAAAGGAAUUGCAUAGAUUGGGCCUGAAGUUGAAAAAGAUUUCUGUAGUCUCUGACGACGUACAGGAAAUCGGAGACGAAAUUAGACUAUUUUCCAAAACAUUUGACUAUGUUUUAACUACAGGGGGAAUAGGGCCCACUCAUGAUGAUGUUACUUACGAAGGCGUAGCGCUUGCCUUUAAUGAGCCCCUUGUUCUACACCCAGAGUUGAAAGAUAUCUGCUGUGAAUUUUACAGAACUACAGACCCUUUAUCUGCCGGUAUGAAGCUGGCUUAUAAACUUUCAGAUUCCGCGCUCGUCAAGGCUUCACUAUAAAACCGUUUCCGGGGCAAAUUUAUCUUACCCAAAUGUGUCUGUAAAAAACGUCUACAUGUUCCCCGGAAUACCAGAACUGCUAAAGAAAACAGUGUCAGAAGUCGGUCCAUUAUUGUUUAGAUCGAACAAACGGUUCUUUACUCGAGCAUUCUACUGUAACGUAGCAGAAUAUCGAAUUAUUACAGAACUGCAACAAGUUGUAGAUGAAUUUCCAAGCGUUCAGUUUGGAUGUUACCCUAAAUUGCAUCACAGUAUUUACCAGGUGAAAAUAACAGUGGAAUCCUGCUGUGAAGAUUCAACUUCAAAGGCCUACGAGAGGUUGAAGGAGUUAAUCCCUGCACAUUAUAUUGUGGAUGUAGAAGACUGAAACAUACAAGAUAGUUUACUCUUUUAUUUCCACUGCAGUCUUCCAUGCCACCCAGUCCAUUUCCUGAUGUAUCAGGUGCGUUUCUCAGUUUCUCAGCUUUGUUUAUUAAAUAACUUGAUCAACCAAUAGUUUAACCUCACCAUACCCCAGAUUUCCUAAAAUAUUUUUGGCAAAAUUAUUAAACAGGGUUUUAUGCGCGCAAUUGCAACAAAGUGGGUACCAGAUUUUCUGGAAAAGUUGACAUUAUUAUACCCAGUACCGGAUUUGAAUAUAUAUAUUUUUUAUUUUUUUGCUAUUAUUUCAAGCGUAAGGGAUGUUGAUUUGUUAUAUUCCAUGAUAAAUAAUGCGGAAAAUACCCAGCCAGGUUUUAGCGGUUUUUGGUGAUUCGAAAAAUGGCACGCCUCACUCGAUCUUGUGAUUCCUGAAAGGUGACAAAAAGGGGAUAUUUUCGUCGUUUUUCACACAUAGAAUUUGUUGUUCUAAAAUAUUCAUUGUUACUAAAAUAAGUGCUUGCGACAACAUCCACAUUUUCAGUUUACUUAUAUUUAUAUGGACCUGUGUGGAAUCGUUGGGAUACGGCACUGGAUAAAUGGCAAAAGGUGUUUCUUUACGCCCAAAGCAAUGUUGUACCCGAAGGGCUGAAUACAACUAUAAUUGGAAAGUUAUAGCAAAUCCUUCGAGCUAAACCACAGCACUGGUUUAAUCAUAAAACCUGAAUAGUCGCUUAGUUUAGAGUGUUUUCUGGCAUCUAAAUCAGUGUCCGAACGGUUCGGCAAAACAGGCAUAUAUUUUGGGUUUUUUAAGCACCAAAAACGUUUCUUUACGUCCAAACAGUGCCGGGCCUCUUGUGUGCAGCACAAAAGCAUUACACUGACAAAAGAAUGGAAAAGUCCGAUUUUUUGCACUUGAAACGCGCUUUUAUUGACCUGAAGUUGGAUAACCGGGUUUUUACCCAAUUUUUAUUUGUAACAAAAGCAAAUUUAGAGCUUGUAUUCGAAUUUUUAAUGUUUUUCCUUAAGAUCCAGACUCUUUUCAAAAAACUUAAAAUCAAAGGUUUUAUGAAUUAUUUAAGCUAGAAUUGAUGCUUCUAAAAGAACCAGAACCAGAACCAGUGGUGCAAUUAUUUAAUGUGGACACUUUGGCGACUCUCGAUCUUAAAAUACCCCUUAUCUAAGAAACGGUUGAAAAUAUUGUGAAAACUUUGCUAGCUCUCGAAGUUAAAAUACCACGUUCUAAGAAAUAGUUGUAUACAUCCCUUUAGCUCUUAGGACCUUUUCGAUAGCUCGUCUCGAUAUCUUUUACUACCAAAGUUUUUUCAAAAAUUCUCAAUCUUUCAAUAAAUACAAGCAAAAAUGUGAAAUUUGUUUUAAAAAAAUCAUUAGAAGAAUGGGCUUUUCGUAUUCGUAAUAGGCUUUACGUAUCCCAAAUGGAAACCACGCGUCUACUAGUUUUAGAAGCUGAAGAAAGAUGGUCUAACUGAACUUUGUGCUGAAUAAAUUGUGGCACGAUGGCCCCAUUAUUUGUCAUAGAUUAUGAAGAAUCAGCCUUUUUACUCUUAACGAAGAAAUAAGUUACAAAUUACUAAAAAAUAUAUUUUAAUGUCGGUUAUUUACUUUGAGUUUUACCAAAAAAAUCAAGCGCGUCCUUUUUUUUAAACUGCUGCUGUUUUAAAUUAGCGUGUUUUUGAAGUAGUUUAUUGAGGAAAACGGGUGGUUCAAAGAAAUAAACUACAACUCAUUUACAUAAUUUAUUAUCGAUAAAUAUUACAUAUUCUACUUAUUGAUAUAUAUUGAGCAUCCAGUAAUAUACAAGAAACAGUCCGAGCGUUCAAGCAGCAGAAAUAGCUACAAUAAUUACUUAAAUGCUAGGAUUUGAUAAAUAAUUGACUGCCAAUUAUUAUCAAAGGGUUUCUACCGGUCAAACAACUCGGACGUGUGUCAGGAUACGCAACACUGAUGAUGGUCGUUUCAAGGGGAUCUAGUUUUUGGCUAGAUCCCCGAAAAUCCCAAGUUUAAAACAAUAAAUGUACUACUAUCCCGUGAAUUAUAUUAUUUGAUCCGCCUACGACACUCGAAAAGGUUCUAAAUAUAAAUUUACAAAAGUGUAAAAAUUUACUCAGUCGAGUCAUAAUGUAUAUUUAUUGAGUAUAGUCAAGAUGACUGCGAUCACCCGAAUUAAAAUCGAUUGUUUUACGAAAUAUCGUGCUUAUUUUAGAGGGGAAGAUGCAUUUUGGAAGAAACCUACCCUUGAUUGAAACCCAUUGUGCGUGUUUAAUAGGAAAACGACGAGGCACCGAUUGUCCCUUUAAAAUGUUUGAUUUGAAGCAAUCAAGAUAGUAGAAAGAGUUCUGCUACUACUUACAACUAAGUCUAUUUAAACUGUACAAUUAUAUACAAAGCAUCCCAAUUUCAAUGUACAUGAUACAGUUUUAACUGGGCUGCCCUGUAUUAAGUACAACUGACCAAACGAAGAGGGUAAAUUUCUCAAGAUUCAACGACAAUUCCCCGAAAUUUUCCUGUGGUCACAAAAGAUGCCCGCCUAGCCUUUCAAGGUAAUCAGUUAACUAAUUGACUAGAAAACCAUCUCUUGCACAGGCGAUGUUAUUAUUAUUUUUUUUUAUGUAGAAGGCACACUAUACCUAAUCGUCCCAUUUUUUUUGGCACCCCAGAAUGCGUCAUAUAGUGCUGGACUAUAUUCGUCAAUUAAUAUAAAUCGUCUUUUUAUCACUUUGCACCGUUGUGCAGUUUAUGUCACUAAUUUACACGGUUUCAGUUUAAGCUUCUCAUCUUCUCCUUCGCAGGGCUGCGGCCGCGAUCAUCUGUCGAAGCAUUGGUUCUGGACUACAAGGUUUUGGAUCGCAUUUCAUUUGUCCAUCUCCACCGCAUCUGGAAAUAAGAUCAGUUUAUGUGUUAAACUAAGUCUCAAAGCAUUCGUUUAUUUAUUUAAGCCCUUCAUUAUUAGUUUCCUUGUUUCCCAAUAAGCCCAUUUUAAUAUUAAAACGGACAAAAUUUCAAAGAUUACGACAACCUAAAAACAGGGAUAAUUAGAAUUUGCCCAAUUCACUUAAUUCUUUGACUGUUUCUUGGUGGAGUAAGAAAUAUUGAUUCUUUAUUUUCUUUCACAAAUAAUGAGGAAAGCGCUGGACCAGCUUUUCGAAACAACCAACAGGGCGUCAAACGGUACCGUUUUACUUGAAUCCAAACCAUAAUCAACUUUUGGAAUUGGGUCUUAUUGAGAAAAUUUGAAUUUUUAAAUCAUUGCUUUAUAUUAAAAAUUAACAAAAUGACAGCAUAUUGUAUAAUUAUAAUUACAAUAAUCAGUUUUAUAUUUCUGUUUCUUUUGAAAAUAAGUCAUAGAUUAAAAAAGGCAAUGUGCACCAAAAAACGCAGUAUCUAAAGGAUUGAUUGGCUACAUUUUGGUUUCAAGUAAAACGGUGGUGCUUGAAAAACUGUGAAAAAACGUGCAUCGAUGUUUUCUCCAUUAUUUGUCAUGAAAAUUGAAGAAUCAACAUUUUUUUCCCUCGAGGUAGUUAGCCAAAAAUUAUGCUUCAAAUUACAAAAAUAUAUAUUGAAAUCGAUGAAUUAGUAUAAAAGUUAGGAGACUGAAAUUUUCCAAAAAAUCAGGUGCGCCACUUUUUUUUUGGAAUUGCGUAGUGCCCAACCAGCACAAUGACGUCAAAUACGUCACAUUGUACUCAGAUUUAUACAUGUGACAUUUUCGUUCAUAAGCGCCGUCAAUAAUACGUGAUUGUAGGUAGGCCUGGGUAACACUGUGUUGAGUUGCGCUUUUUUAGUUGUUGCCGCUCUCUGAGUUAACGAGUUAUAACUCAUCGGUUAAUGAGUGACUAAUUUAUUAAAGCUUUAUGAGAGCCGAGACUGAAACUUUCGUCUGUUUUAAGCCGAUAUUUGUCCAGCAAUUUUUCUUCUAAUUACAACUAACACGCUGUAACUUCCACGCGCUUUUCAUGUGGAAACGAGUCUCACUCGUUCUCAGUUCGAUAUUGUCAUACAUUUGAAUAUUUGAGGAGCGCAAUGAAAAACAUAACCACAAAAAAAACGUAAUAUGAAGGAGGUUUUGCUAUAAAAUAAUAAUUAGGAGAAUUUAUAUUAAUUUUUGCUGUUCGAAUGACAUUUUAUUGUUGUAUAAUAUUAGGUAUUUUUUUUAAAUAUUCCUUUUCCGUAUCAAUUUUACUGAAAAUAUUUCACGGUCGUUUUGCAAGGUCCUAUAAUUAUAACUAUUAAUUAACAUUUUCUGGCUCAUGCCAGAAAAGCUAAUGAACUCAAACAUUUAAAAUAUAUUUUUGUGAUCAAACUUUAUUAAGGUCUGAAUAAAUAUCUUCUAUUAUUUAUUAUCAUACGUAUUGUGAAAUGAAAAUUCAUUAUUCGACCACAUAAAGAAACAUUGAUUUGUUUUUUUAUGUAGUUAUUAAUUAUUUAAAUUAUGUUUCCCGGUAUGCAAUAAACAUGUACUUCCCUAAA